GGGGAAUAUUGGACAAUGGGGGCAACCCUGAUCCAGCCAUGCCGCGUGAAUGAUGAAGGCCUUCGGGUUGUAAAGUUCUUUUGGUAGGGACGAUGAUGACGGUACCUACAGAAUAAGCUCCGGCUAACUUCGUGCCAGCAGCCGCGGUAAUACGAAGGGAGCUAGCGUUGUUCGGAAUUACUGGGCGUAAAGAGCGCGUAGGCGGUUUAACAAGUCAGGCGUGAAAGCCCUGGGCUCAACCCGGGAAUUGCGCUUGAGACUGUUUUUCUGGAGUACGAGAGAGGUAAGUGGAAUUCCCAGUGUAGCAGUGAAAUGCGUAGAUAUUGGGAGGAACACCAGUGGCGAAGGCGGCUUACUGGCUCGUAACUGACGCUAAGGCGCGAAAGCGUGGGGAGCAAACAGGA
rnacentral:rRNA from 1 species